AUGCAAUUUAAGUUCAAGUUCGGUCAAAUCCACCUAAGGUCUCACGCUAAGGAUGGCAAGUCCACCUAAUCCCCCCUCAAGCUUAUAGGACAAAAGGAACCACCACUGGGUUAUUUCCUAACCGCCUUAUACCAAGAUCAAGAGAGUUUAAAAUCAAAUCUAUUCUUCCCAUUUUUUUUCAUUCAUUUUUUUUUUCACAUUUACGAGCGUAGACGUUGCUUUCCCUAAUCCCAGAGGUAUUCCGGCUGUAGAGUCGCUAUCCCCAACCACAGAUUACGUAGGCCUCGGUACUUUUUUUAUUUAUUUUUGCAAGGUCGAUUUCACACACCCUAGCGGUAAUCUGGCUGUAGAGUCGCUAUCCCCAACCACAGACUACAUAGGAAUGGCUACUUUCAUUUAUUCAAUUACACUCACCUAAAUCAAGAACCCUAAUCCGACUCUAUUAUGUGAUAA
rnacentral:lncRNA from 1 species